rnacentral:misc_RNA from 1 species
UUUCCGUAGGUGAACCUGCGGAAGGAUCAUUAAUGAGUUGUCAUGGGGUUCGAUGCUGGCAGCCAAUUUUUGGAUGCAUGUGCUUGCCCCUAACAAUCAUCUUCCAAACACCUGUGCACAUUUUUGAGGGAGUCUUGAGUUGGUUGCCGCUCUUGGGUGAUUUUCUCACAUUCCCUUAAAUCAUUAUACGCUAUUAACAAUGUUGAACGUGCUCUGUGCCGCAAGGCUAUUAAUAUAAUACAACUUUUAACAACGGAUCUCUUGGCUCUC